AAGAAAACAAAAAUCUAGACACAAUUAGCAUGGUUAGUCUUAUCAAUAUUACAAGGUCAUUUAUUUUAAUGUUUAUUAUAGAGAGUUAACUCUGGUCAGUGGAAAUAAUUUUAUGUCUUAAGUCAGUGUUAGAAACAGUAAAUGAUUAACCUAUAUUUUUAUGCCCCACCUAUGAUAGUAGAGGGGCAUUAUGUUUUCUGGUCUGUGUGUCAGUCCGUUCAUUCAUGCGUGCGUUCGUGCAUCCGCCUGUCCCGUUUCAGGUUAAAGUUUUUGGUCAAGGUAGUUUUUAUUGAAGCUAAAGUCCAAUCAACUUGAAGCUUAGUACACAUGUUCCUUAUGAUAUGAUCUUUCUAAUUUUAAAACCAAAUGACCCAAAUUUCACGGUCC
rnacentral:lncRNA from 1 species